UACAGAGGGUGCGAGCGUUAAUCGGAAUUACUGGGCGUAAAGCGCGCGUAGGCGGCUUUGCAAGUCGGGUGUGAAAUCCCCAGGCUUAACCUGGGAACUGCAUCCGAGACUGCAUUGCUAGAGUAUGGGUGAGGGAAGUGGAAUUUCCGGUGUAGCGGUGAAAUGCGUCGAUAUCGGAAGGAACAUCAGUGGCGAAAGCGACUUCCUGGACCAAUACUGACGCUCAGGUGCCAAAGCGUGGGGAGAAAACAGG
rnacentral:rRNA from 1 species